GCCAUGCCGCGUGUGUGAAGAAGGCCUUUUGGUUGUAAAGCACUUUAAGCAGUGAAGAAGACCUAACGGUUAAUACCCGUUAGCGAUGACAUUAACUGCAGAAUAAGCACCGGCUAACUCUGUGCCAGCAGCCGCGGUAAUACAGAGGGUGCAAGCGUUAAUCGGAAUUACUGGGCGUAAAGCGAGCGUAGGUGGCUUGAUAAGUCAGAUGUGAAAUCCCCGGGCUUAACCUGGGAACUGCAUCUGAUACUGUUGGGCUAGAGUAGGUGAGAGGGAGGUAGAAUUUCAGGUGUAGCGGUGAAAUGCGUAGAGAUCUGAAGGAAUACCGAUGGCGAAGGCAGCCUCCUGGCAUCAUACCGACACUGAGGUUCGAAAGCGUGGGUAGCAAACAGGAUUAGAUACCCUGGUAGUCCACGCCGUAAACGAUGUCUACUAGUCGUUGGGGAACUUGAUUCCUUAGUGACGCAGCUAACGCAAUAAGUAGACCGCCUGGGGAGUACGGCCGCAAGGUUAAAACUCAAAUGAAUUGACGGGGGCCCGCACAAGCGGUGGAGCAUGUGGUUUAAUUCGAUGCAACGCGAAGAACCUUACCUGGUCUUGACAUAUCUAGAAUCCUGCAGAGAUGCGGGAGUGCCUUCGGGAAUUAGAAUACAGGUGCUGCAUGGCUGUCGUCAGCUCGUGUCGUGAGAUGUUGGGUUAAGUCCCGCAACGAGCGCAACCCUUUUCCUUAGUUACCAGCGGUUUGGCCGGGGACUCUAAGGAUACUGCCAGUGACAAACUGGAGGAAGGCGGGGACGACGUCAAGUCAUCAUGGCCCUUACGACCAGGGCUACACACGUGCUACAAUGGUAGGUACAGAGGGCAGCUACACAGCGAUGUGAUGCGAAUCUCAAAAAGCCUAUCGUAGUCCAGAUUGGAGUCUGCAACUCGACUCCAUGAAGUAGGAAUCGCUAGUAAUCGCGGAUCAGAAUGCCGCGGUGAAUACGUUCCCGGGCCUUGUACACACCGCCCGUCACACCAUGGGAGUUGAUUGCACCAGAAGUGGGUAGCCUUCUUUUAGAGGGCGCU
rnacentral:rRNA from 1 species